rnacentral:pre_miRNA from 1 species
ACCUACCUAACUGGGUUAGGGCCCUGGCUCCAUCUCCUUUAGGAAAACCUUCUGUGGGGAGUGGGGCUUCGACCCUAACCCAGGUGGGCUG